GUCGUACGCUUCUUUUUCCACCGGAGCUUGCUCCACCGGAAAAAGAAGAGUGGCGAACGGGUGAGUAACACGUGGGUAACCUGCCCAUCAGAAGGGGAUAACACUUGGAAACAGGUGCUAAUACCGUAUAACAAUCGAAACCGCAUGGUUUUGAUUUGAAAGGCGCUUUCGGGUGUCGCUGAUGGAUGGACCCGCGGUGCAUUAGCUAGUUGGUGAGGUAACGGCUCACCAAGGCCACGAUGCAUAGCCGACCUGAGAGGGUGAUCGGCCACAUUGGGACUGAGACACGGCCCAAACUCCUACGGGAGGCAGCAGUAGGGAAUCUUCGGCAAUGGACGAAAGUCUGACCGAGCAACGCCGCGUGAGUGAAGAAGGUUUUCGGAUCGUAAAACUCUGUUGUUAGAGAAGAACAAGGAUGAGAGUAACUGUUCAUCCCUUGACGGUAUCUAACCAGAAAGCCACGGCUAACUACGUGCCAGCAGCCGCGGUAAUACGUAGGUGGCAAGCGUUGUCCGGAUUUAUUGGGCGUAAAGCGAGCGCAGGCGGUUUCUUAAGUCUGAUGUGAAAGCCCCCGGCUCAACCGGGGAGGGUCAUUGGAAACUGGGAGACUUGAGUGCAGAAGAGGAGAGUGGAAUUCCAUGUGUAGCGGUGAAAUGCGUAGAUAUAUGGAGGAACACCAGUGGCGAAGGCGGCUCUCUGGUCUGUAACUGACGCUGAGGCUCGAAAGCGUGGGGAGCAAACAGGAUUAGAUACCCUGGUAGUCCACGCCGUAAACGAUGAGUGCUAAGUGUUGGAGGGUUUCCGCCCUUCAGUGCUGCAGCUAACGCAUUAAGCACUCCGCCUGGGGAGUACGACCGCAAGGUUGAAACUCAAAGGAAUUGACGGGGGCCCGCACAAGCGGUGGAGCAUGUGGUUUAAUUCGAAGCAACGCGAAGAACCUUACCAGGUCUUGACAUCCUUUGACCACUCUAGAGAUAGAGCUUCCCCUUCGGGGGCAAAGUGACAGGUGGUGCAUGGUUGUCGUCAGCUCGUGUCGUGAGAUGUUGGGUUAAGUCCCGCAACGAGCGCAACCCUUAUUGUUAGUUGCCAUCAUUCAGUUGGGCACUCUAGCAAGACUGCCGGUGACAAACCGGAGGAA
rnacentral:rRNA from 1 species